GACGAACGCUGGCGGCGUGCUUAACACAUGCAAGUCGAGCGGAGCGGCGAACGGGUGAGUAACGCGUGAGUAACUGCCCCCCUCUCUGGGAUAACAGUUGGAAACGGCUGCUAAUACCGGAUAGUGGGGGAUGACUCGCGGCCUAUCAGCUUGUUGUUGGGGGAGUGGCCUACCAAGGCGACGACGGGUAGCCGGCCUGAGAGGGCGACCGGCCACAUUGGGCUGAGAGACGGCCCAAACUGCUACGGGAGGCAGCAGUGGGGAGUAUUGCACAGUCGGGGAAACCCUGAUGCAGAGACGCGCGUGCGGGAAGACGGCCUUCGGGUUGUAAACCUCUUUCAGCCAUGACGCGGUAGUGGCAGAAGAAGCACCGGCUAACUACGUGCCAGCCGCCGCGGUAAUUC
rnacentral:rRNA from 1 species